AUGGCGACCGGCGCACGGGUGAGUAACGCGUAUGCAACCUGCCCGAUACCGGGGUAUAGCCCAUGGAAACAUGGAUUAACACCCCAUAGUACUUUUAUCCUGCCUGGGAUGGGAGUUAAAUGUUCAAGGUAUCGGAUGGGCAUGCGUCCUAUUAGUUAGUUGGCGGGGUAACAGCCCACCAAGACGAUGAUAGGUAGGGGUUCUGAGAGGAAGGUCCCCCACAUUGGAACUGAGACACGGUCCAA
rnacentral:rRNA from 1 species